rnacentral:rRNA from 1 species
UACGAAGGGGGCUAGCGUUGCUCGGAAUCACUGGGCGUAAAGCGCGCGCAGGCGGUCCUUUAAGUCUGAUGUGAAAGCCCACGGCUCAACCGUGGAAGGUCAUUGGAAACUGGGGGACUUGAGUGCAGAAGAGGAAAGUGGAAUUCCAAGUGUAGCGGUGAAAUGCGUAGAGAUUUGGAGGAACACCAGUGGCGAAGGCGACUUUCUGGUCUGUAACUGACGCUGAGGCGCGAAAGCGUGGGGAGCGAACAGG